ACGAUUGUGAUGGGUUGUUGUCUCACCUAGCUAUCUUAAAAUGAAUACACUAAUUGUAAGUCACUCUGGAUAAGAGCGUCUGCUAAAUGACUAAAAUGUCAUAUAAAAUAUAUUUUUAAAAGUUUAUCAUACUAAUUUGAGUAUCCUGAUUUAAGAUUACUAUGUUACGUCUAGUCUAUGAGACCAGGCUGAAUCGAAGCAGCAAGAUAGGUGGCAGAAUCCUGCAGUUAAACUGGAUUUAACAACAGUGUCCGGCUCUGCCCUCGAAUGAAGAGGAAGAUAAUCGAUUUAUUUUAAUCUUUUUGGUUUGGAUAGGAGUAGCCUAAUAGCAUGCCAGUGAAAGCCAACAUUUUUAUGUGGGCCGUUUACACAGCGGAACCUCGUUUACAUGCUGAUUGAUUUUAGUUCAAUAUGUCUUUAUCUGCAUCUACAACUAUCCCACCUGCGCUGACAGCGGAUCAGCUAACGGUCAUCGUGGCCUCCGUGUCCUGCCUGGUGUUCUUCGUAGUGAUUCUCAUGCUCCUGGUGGUCUUGUACAGGAAAGACCCUUUCUGCUGCAGGGUGUCGAACUACCAGGCCAACCAGCGCUGUACAGAUGCUCCACCCCAGUACAACAGAAGACAGUCUCUAGUGGUGUCUCCCUACAAUGAACAUACUGCUGCCGUGGCCCACGGAAACAUUGGAUCCCAGCUUCCAGGGAGGCUGUUUAUCAUCGGUAAGCCCAGCAGCUAUCACCUGGACGGGAUCCUGCCCCGCCUUCCGUCCUACGAGAGCGUCCGUAAGAAGGACCGUCAGAGACAGAUCCACUCUAUGAUAGCCGACCGCUUUGGUAUCAGCCCCACACAGUCUGAAACGGAGCCUCCUCCGACAUACGAGGAGACUCUUCGCCAGUCCAUGAUCAUCUCCUCUGAAGACCUUCAGUCUGCUGAGGCACUUCCCUCAGACCUCCCUCUCUCCACCUGUAACUCCAGCCUUGAACACACAGUGACCGUAGAUGCGGGAACCCGUCUCUGUCUAGACCAGGAGUUAUUUGAGGGUCGGGAACACUCCUGGUUUUCAACUUCGAAUUUUAACUAG
rnacentral:lncRNA from 1 species